UACGAAGGGUGCAAGCGUUACUCGGAAUUACUGGGCGUAAAGGGCGCGUAGGCGGCCGGGCAAGUCUGGUGUGAAAGCCCAGGGCUCAACCCUGGAAGGGCACUGGAAACUGUCUGGCUUGAGUUCCGGAGAGGAGGGGGGAAUUCCCGGUGUAGCGGUGAAAUGCGUAGAUAUCGGGAGGAAUACCGGUGGCGAAGGCGCCCCUCUGGACGGGUACUGACGCUGAGGCGCGAAAGCGUGGGGAGCAAACAGG
rnacentral:rRNA from 1 species